rnacentral:lncRNA from 1 species
CUUGUAAGCCUCUAAAAUUUAAAUUCUUAUUGUAAUACUAGAUUUCACUAGCAACUUCAUCAGCAAUGACAAAAGAUCCCUAAGUCAACUUAUAAAUCCAAACUUGAAUUGAGGUUUCAUACACACCAUAUAAUCUCCGAUAGAUAUAAAUAAGAUCUAUUAUUUGGAUUCAAGGAUAAUAAUUAAAAGCGUUACUGAUUCCACCAAGAUGAACAUCUAUUACCUUAAAAU